CAAUAGGAGAAAAGGAGAGACCUCUUCUUUCGUUACCGGAUCUGUUUCUUUUUUGUUUCAUUUUAAAAUAAUAUCACGACUCACGAGCUUUACCUUUAUCCCUCUUUCUCCGCAAUCUGCACUGGCUGCCCCUCUCAAUCUGAGAAACACUCAGAAGCGACGAUGUCGACGCCUCUGUAAUUGGAAGCAGUCAGAAGAGAGCAUCCACAAUGGUACAAUAUAAGUGCAGAUCUGAACCAGACGAACCUAUGGCAUCAACUCAUUCUCGACCUCGCUUUUAUCGCUCUCGCCACUUUCAAGGGUUUGGAGGAUAGAUCUUCGGGAGUAUUUGAGCGGCAUUAGGAUUUGAGAUUGCUUUAAAUGUUUCAAGGUGUAAAUUAAGGGAAAACUGGGAGGAUGCAAAUCCUGCUUCUUGGGGAUCAAGUCCGCAAUAUCGGCCUGGAAGUCCUCCUCGAGAACAUAUGAUGCCCCUACUCCAGUAGGCUGGGCUUCAACUCCUGGUGGCAAUUAUAAUGAUCUUGAGGCCCCUAGAGAUGUACGCAGCCCACGACACCAAGCUCUGUAUCGUAUUUCUUGGUACUCUUGGUGGGUAACCGACAACUCCUGGAGGCGGUGGCCUUGAUAUGAUGUCUCCUAUGAUAGGUUAUUGAUUAGGCGGCCUAGUAGAAGAGUUUUAAAGAAGACAAUAAAGGACUAAGGUGUAUAAGUAAAAUCCACAGUCAACCUUCUGAGAACCGUAUAGAGGCUUGCAGAUCAUUUUACAUGACUCCUUGUCGUUCAGCAUUCGAUUGCUCUAGGUAACACGUCUACAGAGAAAAUCCAGGCUCAUAUGGUAGUUGGAGCAAGAAGUGAACCUUCUAAGGUAUUCCGCUUCCCUUCCUUUCUCUGGUUAUCCAUGGGAAUAUUAAUGUGCAAAAUAGUAGAGGAUUUCCAUGCACUCAAUACAAUCCCAAUGUGAUGAAAACAAAUGAUUCCAACAGUAAACAAUUGAGAGAUUAUACAUUUUAAUGUUUCUGAUUGGAGUUCGAAUCUGUUUUCGUUAUGCUUGUCACAAAUUAGCCACAGGAGGGUAUGUUAUCUUGUAUACUAGUAAUGUUCCUUGUUUUUGUACUAUGCACGUGAUCUAGGGAUGUGACAUGUCGUCCAAUUAGUUAUUAUGUUGAUUAUGGGUAGCCAAGUAGUAUGACCUGGCAUGAGGGUAUCUUUAAUAGGAGUUCUAGAUUAUGUAGCAUUACACUCCUUACAUUCUGAAAAUAUCAGUCAAUUACAGUACAUAAAAUGUAUCUAUGACCUGGUGUUGAAGACUCCUAAUGCCAAAGCUCUAUUUGAUAUUUAUAUUCUUGAUUUAUUCAUGGUUGAUCCUAAAGAGAAGGGAAACAGGGGGUGGUUCAUGAAUCAUACCCUUUAUUGAUUUGUUACUGCAGGCUGAAGGAGUAGUGCAGAAAUUCCCAUUUUUGGUAGGAUAUCUGUGUGGAGUGUGGUUGUGUGGUAUCAAGUCAAUCAGAGUUUUACGUUGGAUUCCAAAGGGUUAACUUGAUGCUACCAUUCAUAUUAUUUUGUUAAACAAGAGAAAUACUGAUUUUUUGAGCUAUGAGAGGUGAUCAUAUUCCAGUAAGUGGUGAAAACUUCUGUGUUCGACUGUGAGAUUUUAAAUUAUCCAAAAGCUAGUUGGUAAUAACAUAUAGUUACUAUCCUGAUUGAUUGUUUCCUGUGUGUGUGUCGCAUUCUUGAAAAUUUAUCUGAUGCACUUUCCAUUUUCAUUUUCAUGACUAAUGAGUUUUUUCUAUGCCAUACUAAAAUAUAAAGAAUACAAACUUCCCAUGCUUUUAAUUUACUGCAUUUUCUUGUCUACAUGUGAUUGUUGCAGAGAUGAAAAAAGAACAAAGGAGGACAUUAGCUGAUGGAACAAAGUUUGAUGGAAGGAGCCAAGGAGGGGUUCUGGACUUCUGGUGGAUAGUUGAGCAUAUGCUUGUGCCCACAUUGAUAAUAAGUAAUAAGUAUUGUUGUCAAUUUUAUUGUUUAAUUUUGUCAAAGUUACGUAGACUCUUUUGAGCCUUUGUUAUUUUUAUGUUUUUUGAGACUACAAUCGAUGUAAAGCAGGAAAUAUUUUUGUUUGUUUUGGUAAUUGUAAGAAUUACAGAGUAUU